GACGAACGCUGGCGGCGUGCUUAACACAUGCAAGUCGAGCGGGGUCCAUCCGGUAGCAAUACCGGUGAAGACCUAGCGGCGAACGGGUGAGUAACACGUGAGCAACCUGCCCCGAAGUUUGGGUAUAACACCGGGAACCGGGUAGCUAAUACCAAAUAGCCUUCACCGAGUCACCUGGCUUGGUGAAGAAAGAUUUAUCGCUUCGGGAGGGGCUCGCGGCCUAUCAGCUUGUUGGUGGGGUAACGG
rnacentral:rRNA from 1 species